rnacentral:rRNA from 1 species
AGGAUUCCCCUAKUAACUGCGAGUGAAGCGGGAAAAGCUCAAAUUUGAAAUCUGGUAGUCUUUUUGGCUGCCCGAGUUGUAAUCUAGAGAAGCAUCGUCCGCGCUGGACCGUGUAUAAGUGUCCUGGAAUGGACCAUCAUAGAGGGUGAGAAUCCCGUCUUUGACACGGACUACCAGGGCUUUGUGAUGUGCUCUCAAAGAGUCGAGUUGUUUGGGAAUGCAGCUCUAAUUGGGUGGUAAAUUCCAUCUAAAGCUAAAUAUUGGCGAGAGACCGAUAGCGAACAAGUACCGUGAGGGAAAGAUGAAAAGGACUUUGGAAAGAGAGUUAAACAGUACGUGAAAUUGCUGAAAGGGAAACGCUUGAAGUCAGUCGCGUCAGCUGGGGAUCAACCAUUGCUUCUUUGCUUGGUUUACUUCCUAGUUGACGGGUCAGCAUCAGUCUUGACCGGUGGACAAAGGCCAAAGGGAAUGUGGCACCUCCGGGUGUGUUAUAGCCCAUUGGUCAUAUACAUUGGUUGG